rnacentral:rRNA from 1 species
CCUACGGGAGGCAGCAGUGAGGAAUAUUGGUCAAUGGACGAGAGUCUGAACCAGCCAAGUCGCGUGAAGGAUGACUGCCCUAUGGGUUGUAAACUUCUUUUAUAAAGGAAUAAAACGAGGCACGUGUGCCUGUUUGCAUGUACUUUAUGAAUAAGGAUCGGCUAACUCCGUGCCAGCAGCCGCGGUAAUACGGAGGAUCCGAGCGUUAUCCGGAUUUAUUGGGUUUAAAGGGAGCGUAGAUGGGUUGUUAAGUCAGUUGUGAAAGUUUGCGGCUCAACCGUAAAAUUGCAAUUGAUACUGGCAGUCUUGAGUACAGUUGAGGUAGGCGGAAUUCGUGGUGUAGCGGUGAAAUGCUUAGAUAUCACGAAGAACCCCGAUUGCGAAGGCAGCUUACUAAACUGUGACUGACAUUGAUGCUCGAAAGUGUGGGUAUCAAACAGGAUUAGAUACCCUGGUAGUC